UGAGCGGCAAAAGCUCAAAUUUGAAAGCUAGCACCUUCGGUGUUCGCGUUGUAAUUUGAAGAUAGUUUCCUUGAGUAGUCCUUUAUCUAUGUUCCUUGGAACAGGACGUCAUAGAGGGUGAGAACCCCGUAUGAUUUUGGAUACUACUCUUUGUGGGAUUCUAUCGAAGAGUCGAGUUGUUUGGGAAUGCAGCUCUAAGUGGGUGGUAAAUUCCAUCUAAAGCUAAAUAUUGGCGAGAGACCGAUAGCGAACAAGUACAGUGAUGGAAAGAUGAAAAGAACUCUGAAGAGAGAGUGAAAAAGUACGUGAAAUUGCUGAAAGGGAAGGGCUUGAGGUCAGACUUGGUGUUUAAUGAUUAUCAGUUCUUCUUGGACUGUGCACUCGUUUUUCACCGGGCCAAUAUCAGUUUUAGCGGUAGAGUACCCCUUGAAAUGUGGCUUCCUUCGGGGAGUGUUAUAGUCUUGGGGAGAUCUACUUGCUGGGACUGAGGACUGCGCUUCGGCAAGGAUAUUGGCGUAAUGACCUUAAGC
rnacentral:rRNA from 1 species